UAAGGAAUCUUCCACAAUGGGCGAAAGCCUGAUGGAGCAACGCCGCGUGCAGGAUGAAGGCCCUCGGGUCGUAAACUGCUUUUAUGAGUGAAGAAUAUGACGGUAACUCCUGAAUAAGCACCGGCUAACUACGUGCCAGCAGCCGCGGUCAUACGUAGGGUGCAAGCAUUAUCCGGAGUGACUGGGCGUAAAGAGUUGCGUAGGCGGUUAGUAAAGCGAAUAGUGAAACCUGGUGGCUCAACCAUACAGACUAUUAUUCGAACUCACUAACUCGAGAGUGGUAGAGNUAACUGGAAUUUCUUUUGUAGGAGUGAAAUCCGUAGAUAUAAGAAGGAACACCAAUGGCGUAGGCAGGUUACUGGACCAUUUCUGACGCUAAGGCACGAAAGCGUGGGGAGCGAACC
rnacentral:rRNA from 1 species